GAUGAACGCUGGCGGCGUGCCUAAUACAUGCAAGUCGAGCGAACAGACGAGGAGCUUGCUCCUCUGACGUUAGCGGCGGACGGGUGAGUAACACGUGGAUAACCUACCUAUAAGACUGGGAUAACUUCGGGAAACCGGAGCUAAUACCGGAUAAUAUAUUGAACCGCAUGGUUCAAUAGUGAAAGACGGUUUUGCUGUCACUUAUAGAUGGAUCCGCGCUGCAUUAGCUAGUUGGUAAGGUAACGGCUUACCAAGGCAACGAUGCGUAGCCGACCUGAGAGGGUGAACGCACACGCUGGAACUGAGCCACGGUCCAGACUCCUUCGGGAGUCAGGAGUAGGGAAUCUUCAGCAUUGGGCGAGUGCCAGACGUGACGACGCCGCGUGAGUGAUAAAAGAGUUCAGAUCAUAAAACUCUGUUAUUAGGGAAGAACUAGUGUGUAUGUAACUAUGCACGUCAUGACGGUACCUAAUCAGAAAGCCACGGCUAGCUACGUG
rnacentral:rRNA from 1 species